AUACGUAGGGUGCGAGCGUUGUCCGGAAUUACUGGGCGUAAAGAGCUCGUAGGUGGUUUGUCGCGUCGUCUGUGAAAUUCCGGGGCUUAACCCCGGGCGUGCAGGCGAUACGGGCAUAACUUGAGUACUGUAGGGGAGACUGGAAUUCCUGGUGUAGCGGUGAAAUGCGCAGAUAUCAGGAGGAACACCGGUGGCGAAGGCGGGUCUCUGGGCAGUAACUGACGCUGAGGAGCGAAAGCAUGGGUAGCGAACAGGAUUAGAUACCCUGGUAGUCCAUGCCGUAAACGGUGGGCGCUAGGUGUAGGGGUCUUCCACGACUUCUGUGCCGUAGCUAACGCAUUAAGCGCCCCGCCUGGGGAGUACGGCCGCAAGGCUAAAACUCAAAUGAAUUGACGGG
rnacentral:rRNA from 1 species